GAUCCUGGCUCAGGAUGAACGCUGGCGGCGUGCUUAACACAUGCAAGUCGAACGAAGAAGGUUAGAAUGAGAGCUUCGGCAGGAUUUCUUUCCAUCUUAGUGGCGGACGGGUGAGUAACGUGUGGGCAACCUGCCCUGUACUGGGGAAUAAUCAUUGGAAACGAUGACUAAUACCGCAUGUGGUCCUCGGAAGGCAUCUUCUGAGGAAGAAAGGAUUUAUUCGGUACAGGAUGGGCCCGCA
rnacentral:rRNA from 1 species